rnacentral:rRNA from 1 species
CCUACGGGCGGCAGCAGUGGGGAAUAUUGGACAAUGGGCGAAAGCCUGAUCCAGCCAUGCCGCGUGUGUGAAGAAGGCCUUCGGGUUGUAAAGCACUUUCAGUGGGGAAGAAAGCCUUGGGGCUAAUACCCUCGAGGAAGGACAUCACCCACAGAAGAAGCACCGGCUAACUCCGUGCCAGCAGCCGCGGUAAUACGGAGGGUGCGAGCGUUAAUCGGAAUUACUGGGCGUAAGCGCGCGUAGGCGGUCUGAUAAGCCGGUUGUGAAAGCCCCGGGCUCAACCUGGGAACGGCAUCCGGAACUGUCAGGCUAGAGUGCAGGAGAGGAAGGUAGAAUUCCCGGUGUAGCAGUGAAAUGCGUAGAGAUCGGGAGGAAUACCAGUGGCGAAGGCGGCCUUCUGGACUGACACUGACGCUGAGGUGCGAAAGCGUGGGUAGCAAACAGGAUUAGAUACCCUGGUAGUC